GGGGCUGUUACGGAUUCGACAGGCAUGGUUCGAGCCUGAAUUGCGCUUCGUAGGUUACGUCUACGUAAAAACGUUACAGUUAAUAUAACUGCUAAAAACAACAAUAACACUUACGCUUUAGCUGCCUAAAAACAGUUAGCGUAGAUCCUCUUGGUAUCGCCCAUGUGCUCAAGUAAGGGUCUCAAAAUUAGUGGGAUACGUUUUAACUUUCCGUCUGUAAGUUAAAAAAGAGAUUAUCAGACUAGCAAAAUCAGAGGCCUGUCGUUCGGCAGCUGAUCACGCGAAACCUUAAAUUGAGUCGACUAUGAGCGUAGAUUUUUGGGUAAUCGGAGUGUUUGGACAGGGGUUCGAUUCCCCUCAGCUCCA
rnacentral:tmRNA from 1 species